UUUCUUAUGUAAAUAUAAUAUGUUAUACUUCCUUGUGUAAAUAUAGUACAUUAUAUUUCCUUGUCUAAAUAUAGCACACUUUUCCCAUUUGUUACCUAUUGUUUCCAUUUCAUUUAGCAUUGAUGACAUUCAUGAACAAUUGUUUUCAGAAAUUAUGAACCAAUGUAAAACCAUGUAUAUUUAUAGAAUUCGCUACACUAAUAACAUAAUAAUCAAAGGACCAUGUCUUUCCUCAGUUCUUCUAGGUAUCGAUAAAUUGCUUUCCAAAACUGCUGGACUAAUGAACACUUCCCACAUUUGUGUAUGAAACUCUCUGUUUCUCUACAAUAUACUAACCAUUUAGUAUUGAUUUUUCACUGAUUUCAUUAAGUGUCACUAAAUGUCAAUAGAUGUGCAAUAGUAUGAUUUGUUCUUAAUUUGUAUUUACCUGGUUACUAGAGAGUUUGAGCUUCAUCCUUAAAUAUUUCAUGAGGUCCACCAAACAAUUCUUAAAGAUGAAAUACUAUCAAUAUUUCCAUUCAAGUUAGCAAUAAAAAGAAAUGCAAAUGCUCCUUUACUUAUGAGUGGAUUGCAUUCUGAUAAACUCAUUGUAAGCUGAAAAUAUUUUGAACUGAAAAUGCAUUUAAUACAUCUAACUUCCCAAACAUCAUAACCUAGCUCAUCUUAAACAUCUUCAGAAUACUUACAUUAGUCUCCAGUCAAGCAAAAAUCAUCCAAUACAAAGCCUAUUAUAUGAGAAAUUGCUGAAUAUUUCAUGUAAUUUAUUGAAUAGUGUACUAAAAAUAAAAAACAGAAUGGUUCUAUGGGUACUUGAAGUAACAGUAACAAAGUAACAGAUUUAAUAUUGCUUAGUAAUAGAUAAAAUUGCUAUGUGAUUUUAUACCUAGAAAAUUCAACAAAUAUGAGUAUUGUUGCUUAUAAUAUGUAAAAACACAUUUUAAAGAUAUGGUGACUAAAAGGUAUUUUUAGUGAAAGCAUAGCCAGAUAAUUAUAGACCUAUGAUGAUAGCAGACUUUAGUGUGUAUACAUUUGACAUUUAAAAUCAUUGAAAUAUGAUUCACUAUUCACAAAAUAAUAAUGAACCAAUUUGCUCAUCCAACUGAAAAACAAAAAUAAAACUAUAAUUUUCUUUCACUACAAAAAAACCGCAUUCAUUAAAUUUCCAAGUAAAAAUUUACACACAGACAAAAAACUGAAUUAAAACACAGUUAUGAUUUAUAUUAUUUUUUAAACAAUAAAAAAUAAAAUUCAGAGAGCUUGAAACAAAUGUUUUCAGGUCAUCUCUAAAUAUUUUAACAAUGUACAGGAAAAAACUAAGAGAAAUGUUUGAAACAUAUCAUUAUAAAAUGAUUAAUGUACACAGAAAAAAGAACUACCACAAGCAAGACAAUAGAUUAUUAAGUAGAGGAAUUGCACAAGCAAUUCACAGAAGAAGUAACUCAAAUGGCCUAUGAGCAUAUGAACAAUGCCAAAUACCUUUAGUAAUCAGUAAAAUGAAAUUAAAAUAACCAAAAUAUCUAAUAGUUUGCCCACCAUGUUAUCACUCUUCAUUUGUUAAUAUUACAUUUAACAGUAUGUGGGGAAAAUUAUACUUUCAUAAAGUUCUAUUAAUAUGUUGUGGAGGACAAUUUGAGAGCCCUCAGAACUUAAAUGUAAAUAUUCAAAAUUCAACAGUUUGAUUUCCUAUGGAAAUAUAUUUACAUUUAGACAAAAAGAUAUGUAGAAAUGUUUAAUUGCAUCUUUUACUGUAAUAAUAAACUAUUGGAUAUUAAUGUAAUUUUAUUAAUAGAAAAAUGGUUAAGUGAUUUAUGGCACAUCCAAUUCAAGCAGAUGUUAAAUGUGAUAUAGCUGUUAAGCAUAUUAAUCUUUAUUGUAGUGACCAAAAAAUAUGUUGAAAACACUCGUACUGAAUAAAACAAAUAUAAUGAGUAACAGUGGCUUUUUCUGAGAAAAGGACUGGAAUUAUGAAUAAUGCUUGGUGAGAGAGAUUUUGAACAUUCUACUCUGUACACUCAAUUUUUAGAAUAACUUUUAAUCUACCUUUGUAUUACAAUACAUGUACAUUAAAAUAGUCAGUUUCAAAAGAUAUAUCUGAAACUAUUCAUGAACAUUUAGAUAAAGUUAAUAUUAUCUUGCAACUCUGAUCUUGUGUAUAUUAUCUGAUAAUAUUAUUCAUGCAACCUGUAGGAAUCAAAAAUUCAACCCUGAUAACUUUUGACUCAUUAAUUUUAACUUUUUAUUUUGAGAUAUUGUAGAUACAUAAGCAGUUAUAAGAAAUAAUACAGAUAGAACUCAUAUGUCCUUCACCCCCAAUGGUAAUAUUUGCUUAGCAAUUGACUCAUUAAAUUUUAUAUGAAAAAAAUGCUUAGUGCAUUUCUUUACAGGAAAAAUACAUUUUCAAUUACUUUCUCAACUUAUAAAAUGACUUUGGAUUAAAAAUAGAGGUACAUAGAUUUAUGUCUUAGCUUUUGGUAAGGAUUUUUAUAUGUAUUCAAAUAUUGCAGGAAGAUAUUAUAUGAAACCAAUUUUCUUUAAUUCAAUAGUUACCAAAAUUUCAAUUGUGCACCACUAUUAAUAAAAAAUAUAUAAAAUGCAUAUAUGUGCUAGAGUACUAACAAUAGUUAAAUUACAGACAUAAAAUAGAAAAAUGAGAUGAAAAAUACAUUAACAUAUUUGGCAAAUACUGUUUAUUGUACCUAAAUAUGAUAUGAAUUUUAUUAAAAGUAUUAUUUUACGCUUUUUUAAUAUGCUUAAUUAUAUUUGAAAAUCUUGUUUUAUUCUUUUGAAAUAAAGCAGUUCAAACAUGCAUACCUGUUAGAAUUGGAAAAGGAAAAAGUGUCUCCACAAAACAAAAGCACCUUAUUUCUGUGUUUUUGAAUGUGUGUACAUGUGAGUACUUAAUUAUCAUCACAAAAAGAUGGAGGUUGAAGACAAAAAAAAAGAAGAGCAAAUUGAUAGAAUGAAGUCCCAGAGGAUGUAGAAGAAAGAAGGGUUCUGAUGCAUGAUUCUUGGCUAGGAGGAGCACUGCUUCACCUGAAAGAGAAGAAAGGGGAUUUUGAAAGACAGGUAGAUGUAGAUGUUGUGACUACUUCACUUUAGACAAAGUUUCUCAUCUUACUUGAGAAAAAAACAAAUGCUGGCUUUCAUCAGAUUUAAGCAGAAAAAGGGGAGUCCACUGAAUCUAUAGUUUAUCCAUUUUUUGCAACAGAAAUUUAAUUUAUAAAGUUUUAAUAGGCCAGAUGUUUAUGGCUUAUUGUAUUAUAAUUGUUUAUUGGUUCCAGCUCUUGUAAGCACGGUUACUUGAUGAGACCGAGAUCUUCAUAAUCUAUAUUCUAACGAACUAUGUGCUAACAACACUGAUGUCUAAACAGAACUGGAAGUUUAACAUUACAAGAUGAAGAUUUCACAUAUUCUUUUUUUUCUUUUUUUUUGGUCUGCUUAUAUACUCCUGUUUGCUUCAUUCGUCACAAGUUAGAUUCUUUGAAGGCACGUGUUGAAAGAUGUUUAUUAUGAACCAAAACCUGUGAAGGGAAGAGGAGGAAGCAGGAUUGUGCAGAGAAAGAAGUUCAAGAGUUGUGCAGGCUCAGCAAACCUCAAUCAACUUAGUGGGAAGCUCAAAAGUGAGAUUUCUCAUCCCAGAGUCCUGGUUUGGUUGGGAUGGCCAGGCCUUUAUAUCCCUGCUUCAUUUAGUCACUCCAUGUAAGCUGCCCUGGGAAGGACGUGACUUCUGCCAAUGCUGUAGCUGAGGAAGCCCUUAAGGAAGUAGCUACAGAGCUCUGUGAUUCUAUCUUUAGAGCAUAGACAGAGCAUAUCCACCAAUUGUUGACCUAUGAAGUGUUAUAUAUAUAUUGAAUAUGCCUAGUCAGGCUACAUCAAUUACAUUCCCUAGCUAAAUAUUAGAACUUUAUUUUGCUAUCGUUUGCACAUCGUGUCCUCCUCACCACCCCGUCUCCUACCUUUCAGUGCCAAAACCAAAAUAUGCCAAAUUAUUCCCUAAAUCACAUCAGGGCAUUUGACUCUCAAAAUUCAAGAAAAGGACAUACAGUCUUCUCUUUACAUCUGAGAUUGCCGCAUCCAUGGAUUCUGCCAAUUGCUGAUCAAAAAUAUUUUGGAAAAAAAUUUUACAAAAUUCCAAAAAACAGAACUUGAAUUUGCUGUGUGCUGAGUAUGACAUUGAAUUCAUGUGAUGAAGCAAUGUUGGGCAUUGCAUUAGCAGUUAUAAGUAACCUAGUGAUGAUCUGAAGUAUUCAGGAGGAUGUGUAUAGGUCAUAUGCAAGCACGACACCAUUUUAUAAAAGGGACUUGAGCAUCCAGAAAUGUUGGUAUCUGCAGGGGUUCUGGAACGAAUCUCUCAUGGAUACUGAGAGACAACUGUAUUCUCAUGACACAGAGGUAACUUUGGACUCAGCGAUUAAGUGAUGAGUCAGACAUAUUAACAAACCUGGACAGAAAACAUAAAAGCAGGACACCAUAUGGACCUAUAGAAUCAGGCACUCUUAGGGUCAACAGGGCAGAUGUGUGUCAAAACAUACAAACAAAAAGUUCCUCAGUUUGAUUGGAAUGACUAAGAAACCCCUAUUCCAUAAUAAGCUGUAUAUAAGUUAUGAAGAAGUAAGUUCUGAAAGUGUAAUUAAGCAUGGAGAUUUGGGACAGCUGAUAAAACAGAACAACCUGAUGGAGGUUAGUACAGUUGCCUUGACCUCUUUCCUGGUGGCACUUUUGGAAGGAGAUGAUUUUGCCUCCCAUAUGCCAUAAAAAAGCGCAUAUAGCAUAAAAAUAUAAUAUAGAAGUGAGAGUAAUAUGUACAAAGGAAUCCAAUCUGUGCCAGACAUGAAGUAACUUGACCAGGAAAAUGUCAGAAACAAGACUGGGAUGUAAAAGGUGAGUAAAGCUCUCAGGAUAAGGAUUUGUAUCUAUGCUCACCUUGGUUCUCUCUUGCACAUAUCAGGGCAUCAAUAAAUAUUUAUGAGAAGGAGUUACAAGGAAGUAGAACAGGUAACUAAGUUCAUGAAGAAGUGGAGGUAGCACUGACUGCAGGUACGUGGCAGCACCCAUCUGCUGUACCGAUGCCUGAUGGUGGAUUGGACAGAAAACGUGGGAGGCAAAAGUCAUCUCCUUCCAAAAGUGCCUCCGGGAAAGAGGCCAAGGCAACUUUGCCAGGACUACUCCUAACCUCCAUCAGCAGGCUCACCAGCACAUUGAGUUUCCUAGUUUAACAAGAAAGCAUCUGCAAAUGUGUAGCGAGAUGAUUGAACUACAUUUUAUGAUUUAAAAUAAACAUUGAAUAUUUCUAAUAAAAAAUGAAUUUAUAUAAUGUCUGUUAUGCAACCUUGGCCAAUUGUGUUUACUACACGUUUCCUUAAACAUGCCAGAACAGAAAUAUUUUCUGUAAACACUUAAUUACAGAAUAUUUUUGAAUUGACCCGAAUUUUCAGUAAAUUAAAUGUGAGUAAUCUAUGCAAUUUUUAAGAUUCAAAUGUUUUAUUUAGCUCUAAUUAUUUAGGCAGAAUAAACUUGAAAGUAACAAUUUAAUACAUUAAUUUUCUAUUUCAGAUUAUAAAUUCCUUGCUUACUCAUAGCAAAAAAUUUGAAACAUAAUUAUGUAAUAAUUGCCUUAAAUUUGUUCUUUAUUUUUCCUGUGUCAUCAGAGACUUGAUGUUAUUAUGGCAUUCUGUAACUAAAGUUAAAUAUUUUACUUUAACAGAAAACUCAUGUUAAUCCUCUUUUCCCAAAACAUCUUUCCAUAAACACAAAUUUUCUUCCCUUCCUCUUGUUUUGUCCUUUUCUUCUCUCAGAUUCUGUUUUUCUCUCUCUCUUAUACAAACACACACAGCUCACACACACACAAAGUCAUUUUGUUACUAUAUAGUAGAUGGAGUACUCAUUUUAAUUCCAGGGCAUAGCCUAUUGUAUUAGUCAGGGUUUUCUAAAGGUGCAGAAGUAAUAGGAUAGAUGUGUAUAUGAAGGGGAGUUUAUAAAGGAGUGCUGACUCACACAAUCCAAGGUGAAGUCCCACAAUAGACCACCUGCAAGCUGAGGAGCAAGAAAGCCAGUCCAAGUCCAAAAAACUCAAAAGUAGGGAAGCCAACAGUGCAGCCUUCAGUUUGUGGCUGAAGGCUUGAAAGCUCCUGGCAAACCACUGGUGUAAGUCCAAGAAUCCAAAAGCUGAAGAACCUGGAGUCUGAUGUUUGAGGGCGGGAAGCAUCCAGCAUGGGAGAAAGGUAAAAGCCUGAAGACUCAGAAACUCAAGUCCUUCCACAUUCUUCUGCCUGCUUUAUUCUAGCCACACUGGCAGCUGAUUAGAUGGUGCCCACCCAGAUUGAAGGUGGGUCUGCCUCUCCUAGUCCACUGACUCAAAUGUUAAUCUCCUUUGGCAACACCCUCAUAGACACACCCAGGAACAAUAUUUUGCAUCCUUCAAUCCAAUCAAGUUGACAACUCAAUAUUAACCAUCACACCUAUUAAUAACACUGGGUGCAUGUAUCAGGCAGCACCAUGUUAACUAAAGGCUUUGCUUUAAUCCCAUAAAGUCCUCACAGUAAUUCCAGGAGCAAACAUUAUUGUUCUUUUUUCACAGAUGAGGAAAAUAAAGCCCAGAGUGUUCCAGUGAUGGGCCUCGAUUCACUCAGCUUCAAGUCGGCCAGACUCCAAUGCGCAGGCUCAAUCAGUCAGACUUGGUAUUUGUCUUUCUGGAUCAUGCUGGGGUAUGAUUCUCAUUGCGGACAGAAUAACAACAAGAAGACCUUGAGAAUAAGCAUCAAUUUGUGAGCCCCAAGGGCGAAGAAGCUUUCCUGAAGCAACAACAGGAACAGGAAGCAAAAAGGAUUUGAAAUGAAAUAGCAAGGGUUGUGGAGGCUUGGAAGUCUAGGAUCAAUGUGCCAGCAACUGGCAUCUGGUGAGGCCCUUCUUGUUGCAUCCUCACAUGACAGAAGAAAGAAGGGCAAACGAGAUGAACUCUGUGUCUUCAUAUGGCAGGAGAGCAGAAGACAACAAAUCCACUCCUGUAAGCCCUUUUUAUUAAAGGCUUUUAUCUAUUUAUAGUGGUGGAAACUACAUAAUUUAAACACCUUCCAUUAAGCCUCACCUUCCAACACUGUUGCAUUGGGAAUUAGGUUUUCAACACAUGAAUUUUAGA
rnacentral:lncRNA from 1 species